GGAGUAUACAAUAUUGUCAUGGCUCUUGACUCACGACAAUGAUUCGUAUACGAUGGUUGGUAUACGUCAUGAGUGAUGAUUUGCCAUGAAGUAAAAAUAUUCUAUGCAUAGGAAUAUAGGAACCGGGCAUAGCUGAACCCAGAGUGAAGCCAUGUUCACCAUAUUACGUUGCCAUUGCGAAUUCAUGAGACUCCUAGACAUCUGUAUAGAAUCUAUAGUCUAUGGCUAAAUGCGCAUCCCCUAUUCGCUGGUUUCCGACAAGAACCUCAUUCAUUUAUUCUUAAAAGCAGUUUCCGGAGUAGUCUAGAGUUGCCGCAUAGCAGGGGCACCUCUGCGCCUACGAAAUGGCAACCGAACCGACAAAUCGGCUAGUAUAGGUUGCCGCAUAACAGGGGCACAUCUGCGCCUACGAAAUGGCAACCGAGCCGUCGAACCGGUUAGUAUACGUCGCCGCAUAGGAGGGGCACAAUUCUUGGUGUCACUCAAUUUGUUUCACCAGUUACUGACAUGAACUUUUCAUUCACUUUUGGGCAAUUCCUGACACCUCCUCACACAUCGUAACAACUUCUGACGCAUCCUGACAACAUGUACACAUGAUAAGAUAUAAAUUUUAAGUUUUCAAAGUUAUGAGACGACCAAAACUAUUAUAAUAUUUUAUCAAAUCACCCUAAUUCUUCUGUAUCACUACAUCACAUGUUAUAAUAAAUAUACA